rnacentral:rRNA from 1 species
UAUCCUACGGGAGGCAGCAUUUUUGUCUCUUGCACCCUUGUUUCAACCCUGAUGCAGCGACGCCGCGUGAGUGAAGAAGUAUUUCGGUAUGUAAAGCUCUAUCAGCAGGGAAGAAAAAAGACGGUACCUGACUAAGAAGCCCCGGCUAACUACGGGCCAGCAGCCGCGGUAAUACGUAGGGGGCAAGCGUUAUCCGGAUUUACUGGGUGUAAAGGGAGCGUAGACGGCAAUACAAGUCGGAAGUGAAAUACCCGGGCUUAACCUGGGAACUGCU